GAAAGAUUUUAUGUUUUAUGUGUUUUUAUUCGUUGUUUUAUUAUCUUUCAUUAAGAAGCAUAUCAUGAAGUGUUCAUAUAUUUCACAAGGUUUCUGUUGUGCAAGCUGACAUUUAACUCUACAACACAAAUAAGUUAGACAGGAAACAGAUGCAGCACCCAAACCACAAGAGUUGAAAAGUGCACCACGUUUCCUAGAGGAAGCAGCCAGACACACAUGUGACACACACACACCCACACACACAACCAUUGGUUUAGAGGAACUUGUAAAAGAGGAAAUGUGAUGUGCUUGCAUACGUGAUGUAACUUAUAAAAAGAACUGUUGCCUGCACUCAGUGUGUGGGUCUCACCAGAGUCCUCACCCGUGCGCGGGGUCUCGCCAGAGGCCUCACGCAUGCACGUUGCAGUUACUAUAUUCUAACUGUCUGAGUGUCUUUAUUCAACCUGAAGAAUGUCUUAUUAAGAAUAAACUCUUGACAUUUAAUUGGUCCUCCGAGCCGGAUGUAGGACAUCGAAUUAUAACUAAUUUUAUGCUCCAACGGAGUGACCUCGUCGUUUCCUGACAUCGUGGAGAGCCCGCGCUGAAGUCUGUCGACAGCCUCUUUCCUAUGAAGGAGAAAAGACCAACUACGUGAAUUCGGGGUUGGCCAGCGUUCUUAGUAAGAGGUCCACGAUCCUGGGGAACGAGGAGGAAUCUCUGACCGGCACUUAUAUCAUCAUAACCAGUCUCUUCCAGGUUGAAACCAGGCGACUGGAUCCUGAUCAAGGUACUCCAGAGGAAAAACUGGAGCUCUCCGAGGUGGGAGGGCCCUUAUCAGGUUCUGCUCACAACACCGACAGCGUGCAAAAUCGCUGAAAGACCUUCGUGGAUCCACCAGAGCCACGCCAAAAAAGUACAAGGGGACACAAGCCCAGACGCCAGUUCACCUAUCAUCUAGUGAUCUGUAAGUGGAGGAGAGGGCAGAUUGGGUAUAUCCCGCCCUCUUGACUUCUCGCUUUCAGUCGACACACUAGGUGAUCUGGUGAACUUGGUCGACCUGAAGAAACCCCAUUGUAGCCCGAGCACUGACCUAGCCCCACCUGCCCGGUAGAGUAAAGGAAGAUCAGUCCAACCUGCAAAACCAGAAGAGCAACCCAUCACUCAAGAUGUGUCCUCAUCCUGUGGAAUCAGAUCCAUGACCAUGGUCUGCCUAUGGAGACUUAGAGUCCCAGAAAAGCAGGGUGUAUCUUUUGUUUAUCCAAAUAAGACACUGCAACCGGAAUCUUCCUGGCACAAGCUUAUAGCCCGAUAGCAACUGAGGAAGAAGAAGACUGUGUUUAAAAAUUUCAGACACUUCACAUGAUGUAGCAAUUGAAAAUGCGCGAGCAAGUGAAUGUCUACUGAAGUCUAUAGAGUAUGGGUGAAAUAUAUUAACAACAGGAGGGAAUGUUGAAAGAUUUUAUGUUUUAUGUGUUUUUAUUCGUUGUUUUAUUAUCUUUCAUUAAGAAGCAUAUCAUGAAGUGUUCAUAUAUUUCACAAGGUUUCUGUUGUGCAAGCUGACAUUUAACUCUACAACACAAAUAAGUUAGACAGGAAACAGAUGCAGCACCCAAACCACAAGAGUUGAAAAGUGCACCACGUUUCCUAGAGGAAGCAGCCAGACACACAUGUGACACACACACACCCACACACACAACCAUUGGUUUAGAGGAACUUGUAAAAGAGGAAAUGUGAUGUGCUUGCAUACGUGAUGUAACUUAUAAAAAGAACUGUUGCCUGCACUCAGUGUGUGGGUCUCACCAGAGUCCUCACCCGUGCGCGGGGUCUCGCCAGAGGCCUCACGCAUGCACGUUGCAGUUACUAUAUUCUAACUGUCUGAGUGUCUUUAUUCAACCUGAAGAAUGUCUUAUUAAGAAUAAACUCUUGACAAGUAACAUAUAGACUAUGACAAAAUGACAUUGUAACACUCAGCUGGGGGCACACAUAUACAGUAGGAUUUUUCUAAGUCUAUUUUAAUAUACUUCUUCACAUUACAUUGCAAUUUACAUUAAUGUACUUUACAUUUUACUGGAUGCUGGAAGCAUAUAAGCAUUUUUUUUAUUUAUGUGUAUGCAUUUUAACAGAAUAACUUAUUCCUGACAUCUAUUUUUAUAGCAACUAUGUUGCUAUUUUGAAUUGAAUUGCAAUUUUGUAAAAAAAAAAAAAAAAAAACCUGAUAAGGACAAUUCAUAAGACUGCUGCUGAGAAAAUGACUUAAAAAUGUCAUUCAAGUAGGUAUUCAACUUCCCAAAACAUAGAGAGCAAUCAAAAAGUUCUUCAAGCCCAUCUCACUGUGCAUUUUUGAACUGUUUUCAAGACUCCCACUAUUUUUAGUUUGCUCCCUGGAUUUCCUUUGCUGACAAGCAAUUAUUAUUAUUGACUACAAACAUACUACUGUUAGUUUCAGGUCUUUAUUCAUAGAUUUUCAGGGUUUUUAUGGGUAUGAAUGUAUAGAAUAACUCCAAAUGAAGACUUAAGUUGAUGUUAUCUGGAUAUGUAUAAAGUGUUUGCUCUUUUUUGAAGUGGUGAUGAAAUGCUAUAUCAUGACCUUGUUGUGGUCAAAAUAUGUAAUUGACAUUUUUAGCUAACUGAGACCAUGACUGUUAUAUAACUAGUGCUGUCAGCGUUAAUCUUGCUAAAAUGACGCUAAUGCCAUAACCGCAUUAACACGGCAAAUCUCCGUUAGCGAGUUAACGCAGAUCGCCCUGUGCGAUGGCUGCAUGGCGUCAACGCGUUAGCCCGGUUAGCUCAUUAACGCAUUGACACCGUGAAGCCAUUGCACGAGGUUAUGGUGUUAACGUCGUUUUAACGAGAUUAAAACAUAUAAAACAUAUAACUUUAAGUCUGUCAUUAAAUUUUGUUAUUGCAGAAUUGCAUAUUACACAGACAGUGCAUAGAACACUGCGCAAAGUAUUUAGGUAUUUUUAUUCAUCACACAAGAACACUCAUAGGUGUGUAACAACGAAAAUUAGUGUUUUAAUGAAGGCAAAUGGACUCGUAAAAUACAAUUAAGCGUUUUUAUUCUGUCUAAUAGACUUUUUUUAUCGAAGUAACUGAGAAAUAGAAAAAGAAGAUAAAAUUCUACUGGGUCUAAAGUGAUUGCUCAUUAAAUGUGCUUGACCCCAGCUGAGUUUUAAAUCUUUUCUUAACAGACUGUGACAUGUACAAUACUUACAUCAAAUCUUAAGUAUAGCUCUUAAAAGAAGUCAGAUUUUUACUAAAUUGGCAAUGACUCCAAAACUUUGACAGAAACUUGAAAUCUGGCUUAAAGAGGGAAAUGUCUGGUGUUGUAAUGUGAAGGUAACUUCCUUGUGUAUUUAGAUACAGUAAUAGGAAAGAUCUUGCUUCAAAUAUUAUCUUUAAAGGCACCACAAAGUUUUCGCUGCUAUCAUUGGCAUAUACUACAUUUAAAUAUACAUACACAGGUAUACACUGAGAUAAUAAAAUGAAGGCCAUAAUUAUAUUAAGGCUUGGUGUCUGUGUACAAAUUGGUGAUGCACUGAUUUAGGGCUUAUAUUUGUGAAUACAUCUUGGCUCAGCUGGAAUCUGUGAAUAGAUAGUUAAGACAAUAUUUGGCAAAAAAAAAAAAAAAAGUUUUAAAGUUAAAUAUACAUGACUUUUUUUUUGUACUUGAGUCUGUGGAAGCUAGGUACUAGAUACCAUGAGAACUUCCAGGCAUAAAUGGACACAUGCUAUACUAGGUAAAUGCAUUUUAUCUGAAUAAAUGAAAUUGUGCAGUGGGAA